rnacentral:rRNA from 1 species
GACAGAGGGUGCAAACGUUGUUCGGAAUUACUGGGCGUAAAGCGCGCGUAGGCUGCUUGGAAAGUCGGAUGUGAAAGCCCUGGGCUUAACCCAGGAAGUGCAUUCGAAACUUCCAAGCUCGAGUCCUGGAGAGGGUGGCGGAAUUCUCGGUGUAGAGGUGAAAUUCGUAGAUAUCGAGAGGAACACCGGUGGCGAAGGCGGCUACCUGGACAGUGACUGACGCUGAGACGCGAAAGCGUGGGGAGCAAACAGG